CCUCCCAAGACCUCAGCUUCAUUUAACUCCCCACUUUUUAAUAACAAGUUUAAGCAAUUGGACGAUUGAGGCAAUCGUGACUUAUAUUGGGAAACGUUGAGGGAACAGUGAGGGUCACAUGGACUCUUGCGUCAUCAAAUGAGCAUUUCCUCAGCAACAUCAAAUGAGCGUUUCCUGUUUGAGAUUGAAAACAAUGUGUUCUUGCGUAGAACCCCAGAGAUGAAUCGUUUACUUGUUCAGCGAGUGACGCUUUCUGCAAGUUUCGGGAUGAAGGGUGAGGAACACAAAUGAGGACGGUGACGUAUUCAGCAGUGGAGAAGGGCUUCCAUGUGCAGGCCGGGAGCAGGUUUCCUGAAGAAACAACGAAAAUGGAG
ensembl:lncRNA